rnacentral:rRNA from 1 species
GACGAACGCUGGCGGCGUGCUUAAUACAUGCAAGUCGAACGCUGAAGGAGGAGCUUGCUUCUCUGGAUGAGUUGCGAACGGGUGAGUAACGCGUAGGUAACCUGCCUGGUAGCGGGGGAUAACUAUUGGAAACGAUAGCUAAUACCGCAUAAUAGUAGAUGUUGCAUGACAUUUGCUUAAAAGGUGCAAUUGCAUCACUACCAGAUGGACCUGCGUUGUAUUGGCUAGUUGGUGGGGUAACGGCUCACCAAGGCGACGAUACAUAGCCGACCUGAGAGAGGGAUCGGCCACACUGGGGCGUAGACACGGCCCUUGCUCCUACGGGAGGCACCAGAAGGGAAUCGUCGGCAAUGGACGGAAAUCUUGCCGAGCAGCGGGGCGUGUGUGAAAACAGUUUUCGGAUCGUGAUGAUGUGUUGUAAGAGAUGAACGGGUUUGAGAGGGGAAAGUUCGCACGGGGACGGAAUCGGACCAGAAAGGGACGGCUAACUACGG